AUUGAACGCUGGCGGCAAGCCUAACACAUGCAAGUCGAACGGCGCGGCGGACGAGUGAGUAAUGCCUAGGAAUCUGCCUGGUUGUGGGGGGUAACGUCCGGAAACGGGCGCUAAUACCGCAUACCACCAGAUGAGCCACGGUGGGAUUAGGUAGUUGGUGGGGUAAAGGCAUACCAGGGCGACGAUACGUAACUGGUCUGAGAGGAUGAUCAGUCACACUGGAACGGAGACACGGGCCAGACUCCUACGGGAGGCAGCAGUGAGAAAUAUUGGACAAUGGGCGAAAGCCUGAUCCAGCCAUGCGGCGUGUGUGAAGAAGGUUUUCGGGUUGUAAAGUACUUUAAGUUUGGAGGCGUUACCGGCAGAAGAAGCACCGGCUAACUCCGUGCCAGCAGCCGCGGUAAUAC
rnacentral:rRNA from 1 species